CCCUGGUCGCACCCUGGAUGCGGUUCUACUCCAACAGCUGCUGCCUGUGCCUCCAUGUCCGCACCAGCACCAUCCUGUUAGGUGUCUGGUACCUGAUCAUCAACGCCGUGGUACUCCUGAUUUUGUUGAGUGCCCUGGCUGAUCCGGAUCAGUAUCACUUUUCAAGUUCUGAACUGGGAGGUGAUUUUGAGUUCAUGGAUGACGCCAAUACGUGCAUUGCCAUUGCGAUUUCUCUUCUCAUGAUACUGAUAUCAUGAGAAUUAAGGCUAAUUACGUAAUUAAGGCUAAUUACGAAGCAUACAGGCAACACGCAUUCUGGAUCAUCCCAUUCUUCUGUUACCAGUUACCAGAUCUUUGAUUUUGCUCUGAACACCUUGGUUGCAAUCACUGUGCUUGUUUAUCCAAACUCCAUUCAGGAAUACAUACGACAACUGCCUCCUAAUUUUCCCUACAGAGAUGAUGUCAUGUCAGUGAAUCCACCUGUUUGGUCCUUAUUAUUCUUCUGUUUAUUAGCAUUAUCUUAACUUUUAAGGGUUACUUGAUUAGCUGUGUUUGGAACUGCUGCAGAUAGAUGAACGGCAGGAACUCCUCCGAUGUCCUGGUUUAUGUUACCAGCAAUGACACUAAGGUGCUCCUACCCCGGUAUGAUGAUACCACUGUGAAUGGUGCUGCCAAGGAGCCGCCGCCACC
rnacentral:lncRNA from 1 species